GACGUAGGGUGCAAGCGUUGUCCGGAUUUACUGGGCGUAAAGAGCGCGUAGGCGGUUUCGUAAGUAGGGUGUGAAAGCCCCCAGCUCAACUGGGGAACUGCGUCCUAAACUGCGAGGCUGGAGUGAGGUAGGGGUGUGCGGAACUUCCGGUGGAGCGGUGAAAUGUGUUGAUAUCGGAAGGAACGCCGGUGGCGAAAGCGGCACACUGGACCUUGUCUGACGCUGAGGCACGAAAGCCAGGGGAGCAAACGGG
rnacentral:rRNA from 1 species